AGAGUUUGAUCCUGGCACAGGACGAACGCUGGCGGCGUGCUUAACACAUGCAAGUCGAGCGGAAAGGCCCUUCGGGGUACUCGAGCGGCGAACGGGUGAGUAACACGUGAGUAACCUGCCCCUAGCUCUGGGAUAGCUCCGGGAAACCGGGAUUAAUACCAGAUACGACCACUUUAGACAUCUGUUGUGGUGGAAAGGAUUCCGGCUAGGGAUGGGCUCGCGGCCUAUCAGCUUGUUGGUGGGGUAACGGCCUACCAAGGCGACGACGGGUAGCCGGCCUGAGAGGGCGACCGGCCACACUGGGACUGAGACACGGCCCAGACUCCUACGGGAGGCAGCAGUGGGGAAUAUUGCGCAAUGGGCGAAAGCCUGACGCAGCGACGCCGCGUGGGGGAUGAAGGCCUUCGGGUUGUAAACCCCUUUCAGCAGGGACGAAGCGAGAGUGACGGUACCUGCGGAAGAAGCGCCGGCUAACUACGUGC
rnacentral:rRNA from 1 species